AACGAACGCUGGCGGCAUGCCUAACACAUGCAAGUCAAACGAUGGCUUCGGCCAUAGUGGCGCACGGGUGCGUAACGCGUGGGAACCUGCCCUUAGGUUCGGAAUAACUCAGAGAAAUUUGAGCUAAUACCGGAUAAUGUCUUCGGACCAAAGAUUUAUCGCCUUUGGAUGGGCCCGCGUAGGAUUAGGUAGUUGGUGGGGUGAUGGCCUACCAAGCCGACGAUCCUUAGCUGGUCUGAGAGGAUGAUCAGCCACACUGGGACUGAGACACGGCCCAGACUCCUACGGGAGGCAGCAGUGGGGAAUAUUGGACAAUGGGGAAACCCUGAUCCAGCAUGCCGCGUGAGUGAUGAAGGCCUUAGGUUGUAAAGCUCUUUUACCCGGGAUGAUAAUGACAGUACCGGGAGAAUAAGCUCCGGCUAACUCCGUGCCAGCAGCCGCGGUAAUACGGAGGGAGCUAGCGUUGUUCGGAAUUACUGGGCGUAAAGCGCACGUAGGCGGCGAUUCAGUCANAGGUGAAAGCCGGGCUCAACCCCGGAACGUGCCUUUGAAACUAGAUUGCUAGAAUCCUGGAGAGGCGAGUGGAAUUCCGAGUGUAGNGGUGAAAUUCGUAGAUAUUCGGAAGAACACCAGUGGCGAAGGCGACUCGCUGGACAGGUAUUGACGCUGAGGAGCG
rnacentral:rRNA from 1 species